UGUUUUUAUAGGGCAGUUUUAGGUUCACAGCAAAAUUGAACAGAAAGUACAGAGAUUUCACAGACACCGUGCUCCCACCCAGGCAGAGCCUCCUCUCCCAGGAACAUCCCUCACCAGAGCGGCACAAUCGAUGAACUACGGUGACGUCAUCGUCCAAAGGCCACAGUUAUCAGGCUCACUCUUGGUGCUGUCCAGUCCGUGGGUGUGGGCAAAUGCCCAGUGCCACGUGUCGACCACUGCAGUGCCGACCGGAGGAGUUUCACUGCCUACCUGCCAUCUGUGCUCCAGUUGCUCACCCCUCCUCCUCUCUCAGAUAGCAAUAUGUGUUGAAAAUGCAAACUGAUGUCACUUGUAGAAGAAGGGACCGGAAUCCAGCCUGACCUGGCUCCUGUUUACGUCGACUUGCACCAUUCCCGGUAAUCACAAGAUGGCUGCU